rnacentral:lncRNA from 1 species
GCAGCAACAAUAAGAGUGAAAGUAGUCCAAUUCAACAUAGGAAAGGACAUCAACUAAAAGGAGUCCAAUUCAAGAUAGGAGAGGACAUCAACUGAAAAGAGUCCAAUUUAAGAUAGGAGAGGAAAUCAACUGAAGGUAUCCAUCAGGGUUACUUUAAAUACAAGGGAAGAGAUUCAAAGCAAGACACGCACUUAAAAAAUAAAAAAACACAAUCGGCAAAUUGACUUCACG